GCUUGUAGGUUAUCUUGACAGAGGGGUAGGUAAUGUUAGUACUUGAUGUUCAUUGGUGUGUGUGUGUACAUGUUUAUGUGUGUUGAAUGUGUACUGCUUGUAGGUUAUCUUGAUAGAGGGGUAGGUAAUGUUAGUACUUGAUGUUCAUUGGUGUGUGUGUGUACAUGUUUAUGAAUGCAUACUGCUUGUAGGUUAUCUUGAUAGAGGGGUAGGUAAUGUUAGUACUUGAUGUUCAUUGGUGUGUGUGUGUACAUGUUUAUGAAUGCAUACUGCUUGUAGGUUAUCUUGAUAGAGGGGUAGUUAAUGUUAGUACUUGAUGUUCAUUGGUGUGUGUGUGUACAUGUUUAUGAAUGCAUACUGCUUGUAGGUUAUCUUGAUAGAGGGGUAGGUAAUGUUAGUACUUGAUGUUCAUUGGUGUGUGUACAUGUUUAUGUGUGUUGAAUGUGUACUGCUUGUAGGUUAUCUUGAUAGAGGGGUAGUUAAUGUUAGUACU
ensembl:lncRNA